rnacentral:lncRNA from 1 species
UUGCCUCCUCCAGCGGAAGAAUGUGAGCCACCGACAAGGAGGGACGCCAAUAAGUAAAAUACAGCCCUACGAGCCUAGCAGUAUCUCUGAUGGGGAAAACAUGAAUAUCAUGAUGAAGAUGCAAAUCUGUCAAGACAGGAAUAUUUGUCAAGGAGAAUUGCCCUGAUUUGUGACUGAAACUGAAACAAUUUCAAAGGAUCGACUUGGUUUUGGCUCACAGUUUCAGAGGCAUCAGUCUAUGGUCAGCUCAGCCAUUUCUAGUGCCAUGCUAAAGCAGAGCAUCAUCCCAUGGUAGAGCUGCUCACAUCAGGACAGCUAGGAAGGAGAGGGAGAAGAAAGGAAGGAGGGAGGAAGAGAAAGACAGAAGACAAGGUCGGAGUCCUCAGGAGCAAAUCACUUGUCAAUGAUUGGAUUUACCAGAUAAGGACCAAGCUGCUAACAUCGCCUUUGGAGAUAUACUUUAUAUACAAGCCAUAACUGUUUCUAUGCAACUGUCUCUAUUGUAACUAUGUGUUCUCAUAUUGGGCAAAGUGGGGACUAUAGAAGGACUGAUUGAGGUUGCUUAUUUCCUGGCCUGCUAAUUAUUCUUCUGCAAGAGGGCUUCCUUUUAUGCACCAACCAUCCUGUGGCAGGGGCUGAAGGCAAGUAGGCUUGACUUUGAGACGGGACUCCAGCCAACAAAAGACUUAGCCCCAGCAGGGCCACUGAGACAGACAUCUAUCCCUACAUGGAUGCCAGAGUCUGUCAUGAGUUCAUCGUGCAGGCCUGAGGCCCCUCUGUGAGUUCAGCUGGACAAAGUAGCUGCGGUGCCCCAUGGGAGUAAGCAUGACUGAGCAGAUCUUUAUUUCUCAAGAUCAGAUGUCAUUUGAAGAUAGAAGAAAGUGAUUCUGAAAACCUUUUUCCAAAUAAAACAAGCUUGUGAGAAUUUUGCUGCCAACAAAUCUAUUCCACUAUUCUUGAUUUCAGUGAUGAUUCAGAUCUGUGGCAGGCACAUGAUUGCCCUUGGGGGUGAGAGACAGCUGGUGCUGGGCAGUCACCAAGAGACACCACUGGCCCCAGGGCAGAACCCACAGACGACACCUCCUCCUGGAAUGCAACAAAGGUCACUGGCAGGACAAACCAGGAGCCUGGAAUUGUUUUCAAUUCAUUUUCAACCUGAUGAUCCAGAUGAAGAACUCCCAGGUCCAUCUCCAGCACCAUGUCUGCCUGUGUGCCACCAUGCUUCCCACCACGAAAAUAGACUACACCUCUGAAACUGUAAUCGAGCUCCAAUGAAACAUUUUUCCUUAUAAGAGUUGCUGUGGUCAUUUGUUUCUCUUCACAGCAAUAGAAC